AAAUUGCAGCUUAAUAUCAACUACUUUGAAAACCUCCCUGGAGCCCCGGAGCCCCGGAGCCAGGAGAGAUCUCCACCGGGCCCCCGAUAACAACUACGGGCCCGGUUGGGCUGAGGCCGCCCCGACUGCCACCGAGGAGUGGGCAGAGCUUUCCCCCCUCCCCUCCUCCGGUGAUUUUCAGAUAAAGAAGAAAAGAGUGGAGGAAAAAAACCAGGCCGAUCCGAGGUGCAGCGGCAGAGAGACUGCUGCCCGGCAGAGAUCACACGGCUGCUGCAGGCCUGAGCAAAGUUAACCCCUUCAGGGCAACAUGAAGCUGCCAAAGCCUAACCCUUCCUUAAGAGAGAGAAGAAAGAGACAGAGUGGACGUAGAAAUGACACAGCAUGAGGACAGUCAUAAGGAAUGAAAAAGGCUUGGAGAAAUAUUCCUGAGUAUGCUCUUCAGGGCUGCUCCUCCCUAGGACCAUCCUCCUUGCCUGCAGCUCCAUGCUGUGUCCUCUUGCACAGCCCAAGUUUUGUGGGCUCAGCGUGAGAAGGGAAGCACUUGCUCGAGACACCCAGCUCCUACCAGUUACUGGCAUCCCAAAAGGAAGUUGGGCUUCACCCACCUGCAUACCUGGAAGCUGGUGCCUGCUCAUUCCAACAGCUGUAGUGGCCUGACCUCAGCUCUGCCACAAACUUGGGAGAGGGGAGAGCAUGGCCAACCACUUGUGUGCUCCGAUGGCAGUCCUGCCAAAGCGUGUCCCUUGGUGCAGGCUAACACUCCUCUCUGCCUGGUGCAUCUCCAGACCAUGAAUCCAGCAGACAUUUGUGAACACUGCAGAGCCCGGGGCGCAAGGGCAGGAUGUUUCUCCACAGCAGGAACCACGCGGUGUGCCUAAAACCCUUUCUGCACUAUGAAACUGGGCAACACCUUUGCCAUUCAGAGGGAAGGGAAGCCCUUCAACAAGCAAAGACUUUGGGGAACCUCAGGGAGGAGCUGGCAGGGACAAGUUCCAGUUGUGGCACAUGACCCACACUACCUGCUCUUCACCAUGCUGUGAGCUCCAGGGAGCUCUGAUCUCAGAGCUCACAAGCUCUAAGAUCCCAUGGCCUCUCUUUCAAGGGCUGCCCCUUCCUGGCAAGUGUCCCCUUCCCUGCACAGCUGAUGUAGGGGGGCAGGGAGGCUUGGCUUCUGCCCCCCAAUUGUCCCAUCCUCUUCCGAUGUGUGUUCUUUCAUACUCCUCAUUCUCAGUGGAUAAGUCUGUUCAGAUGGAAAGCUUUUCCCAGGAUUAACUAAAGAUAAAUUCUUUUCUCCCCCUUGCUAUGACAGUGGCUGGAUUAAGACCUUAGCUACAUGUGAACAGUGCAGGGAAGCCCUCAUCAUGGCCAGAAGCUGAGUCAUAUAACCAGCAAAGAAUUAAAUCUCUAUGAGGCAGGGAAAGGAAGUACUGUCUUAGAGCAAAAUAUUUAGAUUCUGUGGAAUAUUGGCCAAUUACAAUAUUUUUCUUCAAACAGAACAUUUAU